rnacentral:rRNA from 1 species
AGAGUUUGAUCCUGGCUCAGGAUGAACGCUGGCGGCGUGCCUAAUACAUGCAAGUCGAGCGAACGGACGAGAAGCUUGCUUCUCUGAUGUUAGCGGCGGACGGGUGAGUAACACGUGGAUAACCUACCUAUAAGACUGGGAUAACUUCGGGAAACCGGAGCUAAUACCGGAUAAUAUUUUGAACCGCAUGGUUCAAAAGUGAAAGACGGUCUUGCUGUCACUUAUAGAUGGAUCCGCGCUGCAUUAGCUAGUUGGUAAGGUAACGGCUUACCAAGGCAACGAUGCAUAGCCGACCUGAGAGGGUGAUCGGCCACACUGGAACUGAGACACGGUCCAGACUCCUACGGGAGGCAGCAGUAGGGAAUCUUCCGCAAUGGGCGAAAGCCUGACGGAGCAACGCCGCGUGAGUGAUGAAGGUCUUCGGAUCGUAAAAAUCUGUUAUUAGGGAAGAACAUAUGUGUAAGUAACUGUGCACAUCUUGACGGUACCUAAUCAGAAAGCCACGGCUAACUACGUGCCAGCAGCCGCGGUAAUACGUAGGUGGCAAGCGUUAUCCGGAAUUAUUGGGCGUAAAGCGCGCGUAGGCGGUUUUUUAAGUCUGAUGUGAAAGCCCACGGCUCAACCGUGGAGGGUCAUUGGAAACUGGAAAACUUGAGUGCAGAAGAGGAAAGUGGAAUUCCAUGUGUAGCGGUGAAAUGCGCAGAGAUAUGGAGGAACACCAGUGGCGAAGGCGACUUUCUGGUCUGUAACUGACGCUGAUGUGCGAAAGCGUGGGGAUCAAACAGGAUUAGAUACCCUGGUAGUCCACGCCGUAAACGAUGAGUGCUAAGUGUUAGGGGGUUUCCGCCCCUUAGUGCUGCAGCUAACGCAUUAAGCACUCCGCCUGGGGAGUACGACCGCAAGGUUGAAACUCAAAGGAAUUGACGGGGACCCGCACAAGCGGUGGAGCAUGUGGUUUAAUUCGAAGCAACGCGAAGAACCUUACCAAAUCUUGACAUCCUUUGACAACUCUAGAGAUAGAGCCUUCCCCUUCGGGGGACAAAGUGACAGGUGGUGCAUGGUUGUCGUCAGCUCGUGUCGUGAGAUGUUGGGUUAAGUCCCGCAACGAGCGCAACCCUUAAGCUUAGUUGCCAUCAUUAAGUUGGGCACUCUAAGUUGACUGCCGGUGACAAACCGGAGGAAGGUGGGGAUGACGUCAAAUCAUCAUGCCCCUUAUGAUUUGGGCUACACACGUGCUACAAUGGACAAUACAAAGGGCAGCGAAACCGCGAGGUCAAGCAAAUCCCAUAAAGUUGUUCUCAGUUCGGAUUGUAGUCUGCAACUCGACUACAUGAAGCUGGAAUCGCUAGUAAUCGUAGAUCAGCAUGCUACGGUGAAUACGUUCCCGGGUCUUGUACACACCGCCCGUCACACCACGAGAGUUUGUAACACCCGAAGCCGGUGGAGUAACCUUUUAGGAGCUAGCCGUCGAAGGUGGGACAAAUGAUUGGGGUGAAGUCGUAACAAGGUAGCCGUAUCGGAAGGUGCGGCUG